AUUGAACGCUGGCGGCAUGCCUUACACAUGCAAGUCGAACGGCAGCAUGAUCUAGCUUGCUAGAUUGAUGGCGAGUGGCGAACGGGUGAGUAAUACAUCGGAACGUGCCCUGUAGUGGGGGAUAACUAGUCGAAAGAUUAGCUAAUACCGCAUACGACCUGAGGGUGAAAGUGGGGGACCGCAAGGCCUCAUGCUAUAGGAGCGGCCGAUGUCUGAUUAGCUAGUUGGUGAGGUAAAGGCUCACCAAGGCGACGAUCAGUAGCUGGUCUGAGAGGACGAUCAGCCACACUGGGACUGAGACACGGCCCAGACUCCUACGGGAGGCAGCAGUGGGGAAUUUUGGACAAUGGGCGAAAGCCUGUUCCAGCAAUGCCGCGUGUGUGAAGAAGGCCUUCGGGUUGUAAAGCACUUUUGUCCGGAAAGAAAUGGCUCUGGUUAAUACCUGGGGUCGAUGACGGUACCGGAAGAAUAAGGACCGGCUAACUACGU
rnacentral:rRNA from 1 species